rnacentral:lncRNA from 1 species
UUAUCAAUUGGUAUCAGAGCAACGAUAAGACUUUAGGGUCUUAUCAUUUGGUAUCAGAGCAACGAUCCUUGGCGCAGCCCGCCGCAGCCUUGCUUCCCUUCUUCCCCACCACCACUACAAGGCAACUCUUUCUUCACCAUUGUCACUGUUUCCUCAGCCAGUGACCUUCGACCACCGCUCGACCUCCUCGCUGCCCCAUCUCGUUAAAAACAAAAAAAAAGAAUGAAAAAAGAAAAGAAAAACACGAGAGGAAGAAGAAGCCGCAACC